rnacentral:rRNA from 1 species
UACAGAGGGGGCAAGCGUUGUUCGGAAUUACUGGGCGUAAAGGGCUCGUAGGCGGCCAACUAAGUCGGACGUGAAAUCCCUCGGCUUAACCGGGGAACUGCGUCCGAUACUGGAUGGCUUGAGUAUGGGAGAGGGAUGCGGAAUUCCAGGUGUAGCGGUGAAAUGCGUAGAUAUCUGGAGGAACACCGGUGGCGAAGGCGGCAUCCUGGACCAUUACUGACGCUGAGACGCGAAAGCGUGGGGAGCAAACAGG